AUGAUUGGACAACUCGGAAAAAUACUAAAAACCAUCGAAUUGUACACUUUAGAAAUAUGGCAAAGUAUUAGGAGAAAGAAAGACGUUUAGGUUCCAGAGGCCAGUCGUCCACAUCAGUGGCAGACAACAGAUGAAGGAGGGGUUCGUACUGGACAAUGUCGCUUCCCAGUGAAGGACGUGGCCUCGCAGAAGUUGAUGAGUCAAGAGGAAUGCACGUCGGUGAAGAUGCUGUUGAAAGAUUGAAAGCUGAAAGGCAGUUCUUCCAAGGCUUCUUUGGAAAAACUGGAAAGAAAACAGGGAAGGCAGUCCUGUGGGCAUCAGCAGGUGGACUCAGAGCUGUGGAUGAAAAAACCAAGGACCUCACAGUUGAGCAGACAAUAGAAACAGUUUCUUCCUGCGCCCCACAGAGGACCUUUGAUAGAGCCGUCUCUGACAUAAGUCGUGACGGCACCGCUGGGCACUGGAUCUGUCAUUGCUUCCUGGCUGUCAAGGACACGGGUGAAGGACUGAGCCACGCAGUCGGCUCUGCUUUUGCGGCCUGUUUAGGACGGAAGCAGAAGCAGGAGAAGGAAUAUGGAAUGACUGCUACUUUUGAUGCCAGUGACGAGGGAAGGGUCAUUCCGUGUCACAGCUGCCACCGAGCAAGCAGUAAGAGAGGAGAGUCUGAAGAUGCCAAGAUGCCAAGAAAGUGCCAGGAGUAGGAGGGGAAGCAGAGAGUAUCAGCUCCCUGUGCUCACAGACCCCUGGUGCCUUCAGCAUGCCCUCCCAGGGGCCCUUCUCAUCUGCCCUGAGGACCAAGCCAGUGACAGGGGUAGCUUCGCAAUCUCCUGACAUUCAAGCUAAUGACACUGGCUCAGCCUUCCAUGGUCCUGCUGCUAAGCCAGACCUCACUGCUCUCGCACCCGCAGCAAUGCCUAUGUGGGAAACCAACUCUCGUGCCCAGGCCCCCAAGGCUGUGAACAAGACAACGGCAGCCCCACAUUCGGGGACGGAGUGCGGUCGGUCUUCUGGCGCUGCAUCUCCAGGUCUCUCCCGGGCUGGUCGCAGAAACACUCCCGCCGAGGCUGACCGCCGGUUAGAAGAGGGGUCCGAGAGCCCUCAGCUGUCCUUCUGCAGCCAGUUGUCCAGCCUCCUCCACUCACUGCUAUUACCCUACCAGCGCGGCCUUUCCCAGGAAAUGCAUUGCUCACCUCUCAGCCCAAGCCAGUGGGCGUGGUCCCACCCCUGCAGCCAGCCUAUGACCCUGCCCCGUACCAUCCUGUGGCCACCAGGAUGCCCUACCCAGCCCUGAAUGUGCCUGUGGUGGGCAUCACUCCCUCCCAGACCGUAGCCAAUGUGUUUGGCACCGUAGGCCACCCUCAGGCCGCCCACCCCCCUCCGUCUCCCAGGCUGGUCAAGCGGCAGACAUUCCCUCAGUCUGAGACGAGCAGGGCUGCUUCCAUUCCCCCCUUGAAGCCGCCUGCUCAGCACCUCAACGGUUCUACUAGUGUUAGAUGAUGGCAGGUUGGCCUCAGGAGAUAAGCACACAGAGGUGCCUGCAGGCACCUGCCCCAUGGAUCUUUUGGAAGCUCAGUGGGCAGCAUUAGAAAGCCAAGUCCAGGGAGCAUACUAACCCCUUUCCCACCAACCCCUUCUCCAGUGACUUACAGAAUUCGUUUGAAAUUGAGCUUUAAGCAGUCUCUGUGGCUUCUGUUAUUUUGUCUGUACUUAGGCAAGGGCAGGGGCAGAGGCCAAAGGAGCAAAGGGAACUUUGUGUUUCCAAUCAGUAUACUUUUCACUAGUCCCAAAGGUCCCAAGGAGCAUGUCCAGGCAGAGAUCUGUGGGAGGUGAUUUUGAGAAAAAUGGGGAAAAAAAGCAUUCCUAGAGAAGAGCUGUUUUCCAGUUAGGCUAAAGAAGUCAAGGAAAUGUUGCCCUCUGUUCCCCUCUGACCCCCAUAGCCCCUUACAAAUCCCUGACAAUGGAGAGGCAGAAGUAUCUGAACAAGAAUCUGUAUUCAUAGCGUAUUUACUGGAAUAUAAAAGUGUGGGAAGCAAAAUGAUUUCCCUUGUUUUUUAAGCCAUUCACCUGCCAUCCUCAGUACUGGCCUGUCUUAGAGAUCAAGAACAUGGUGGCCUGUGCUUGGGGUGGGGACAAGAGGUAGGCUAUGCAGAAUUCCCAGGAGGGCACAUCAGCAGCUGCCUAGCAGAGCUACAUUUCAGGGGUAAAGUUGAGCUUCCACUUUAAGUAAGAAUAAAUAUUAUAAAUAUUUAUCAAAAAAGCCAAAAUCUUUAUUGUUUUUCCUGGUUUAAGUCCAAAUCUUUAUGUUUAUGCAUUAAGAAUAUUUUAAAUAUUUCUCAAUAUUAAAAAGUUGUAGGAGUUGUAAGUAAUCUUGCCAAAGGUGAAAGGGUUAGCUGUAAGGAAUUAUACAUAAGAUUGAUUUAUCAGUGAUGCCUACUGAAGUUGGGGGAAAGGCUGGGAAUUGCAGAUGGGAUCCCUAGCUUAUUUGGUAUCAUUCAUUUUAAGUAGCACAUUGCAGCAACUAAUCAUGCAUAUGACCAAUAGAGCCACAAGGUUGGAGUUUUAAAGAAAAUCUGGGGCGCCUGAUUGGUGAAGUUGGUUGAGCAGCGCCUCUUGGUUUCUGCUCAGGUCGUGGUCUCCUGGUGGUGAGAUGGAGCACUGUGAGGGGCUCCACGCUCAGCGUGUGGAGUCGGCUUGAGAUUCUUUCUCCCUCUGCCCCUCCCUCUCAUGCACUCUCUCUCUAAAAUAAAGAAAUCUUAAAAAAAAAAAAAAUCAAAGAGCAGUAUUGUCCUGGUUUUAAAACCUAUGAAAUUCUAAUGUUAUUUUAACAAAAUCAAUCUAAAUACACUCUACAGAGAAUAUGUAUUUUCUUUUAUAUACGCUACAGUUUCCUUCUGUUAAUCCGCUACUUUGUUUUGACACUAAGGUGACAAUGACAAUCAUAGCAAUAGACUGGAGCGCAGAUUACUGUUGGUUUGUCAUGUGAGUCUUGGUAGGUUUUGUUUUGCCCUUUAGGUUUUGUCCCCACAAGUUUUGUGGGGAUGGAGAUUCUAGUUUUAUUAGCUGUGUGUCCAUCCCCCGACUUGUGGAGAACAGAACAUCCUCUUGCCAGCUGCAGCCAUUGGACCUCUGGUAACAACUAGAGACCCCAUCUCAUCUUUACUUUUGAAUGUUGGUCUUACAAGCAAAUGUAAGUUAUAUAUAUUUAUACUGAUGGGAAUUUAUAAUCUGCUGUAACAAAAACAAAUAUUUGUGGUAGGAAAAAAAAGACAUGAACCAGUGUUAACUUUUUAAAUACCUUUUUUUGGUAACCAAAUGUUAUAAACUCCCCUAAAUCUUCAGUUGUGAUAAUCUACAAUUAUCAUUAGUACGUGAUUGUGAAAAUCGAUCAGGGAAGCACUAGCAAAAUGUUAGCUUCAUCUUUUCAAGGUUAGCAAUAAUUUGGAAACCGCAGGAAUCUCAUCCUUCAGUUUUGGACAAGAAUUUAUAUGGGUAGCUCCCAAUUAAUUCUUUUGGCUCACGGGUGGGAAAAAAAAAAGGGGGUUAUUGCAGGUAAUCUAUUUUGAUUUUCCCAAGUGAAGGGCAGUAAUUUGAGGACCCAAAAGACUUUUCUAAAUUUCACCACGGUGAGUAGUUAGUUCAUAAAGGAGCACAGCUUUACUUCUGUCAAGUAUUGACCUUUGCUGAUCACCCACACGAAACUGCGUCGUCAGCACAUCAGCGGUGUGGGGGGCCCAGGACGUGUGAUUCAGCGAGCAGCAAACGUCCAACAGUACCCGCUUCACAGUCUCCUAAGGCGGUGAACCUCAUAGGGGAUCAGCUCUGAGGUCCUGGCAGGUCCCAGCAGCAACUGACUCCUGACACCGUGGGGACGAAUUCGCGGGGCAGGUGCGGCCGCCGUCCUCCGAAGUCACAGCGGCCACGCUCGCUCCCGCGGCGUCUUUGACCUUCCCCAGAGCUUGCGGCCCGCCCCCCGUACCGGCGCACGUGGCGAGGUGGGGACGGAGCCACGCGGGGCCCGCGGAAGAGCCUCCCCGCAGCAGCGCGCUGCUGACACCCCAGGCACGGGAAGCCCCCAGUCGGCCUGUCGCUGCAAGACCCUGCGGUGGGUUAGAAAUCAAGCGCAGAGAGGUGACCCGGCGAUCUCCCCCCGGCCUUCCAACACACACUUUCCUUUCGCUCCCUCGCCCCGCCCCCGCCUUCGCCGACUCUCCGCCCGCCGGCUCCGCUCGCUCCGGGCCAGACCUAGCGGAGGGGCCGGCCAAGACCCCGACGGAGAGACUCCAUCCGGGUGCUUUGUCCGGGAGCCAGGAGGGCGUGGCCUCAUGACGACCGCGGGGGGAGGGGCGCGGAGCCAACUCAGGAGCUGGGACUUCCUGACGGAGGGGGCGGCGGGAGUACGGGUUGUCCCUUGCCACGCCCCAUGGAAGCGCCAUCCUGCACGAGAGGGGCGUCUCUAGCCUCAAACUCCCCUCUGAGGCGGGAGUAUCAGCUAAGAAGUCUAACGUCAAAGACUCCCCCUUUUCAGAGCCUUUUCAUGCCCUCUCCCCCUGCCCGUCUUUCCUCUCUGCUUGACCGGCACGAAACACUUUCCGCCUCCAGCCUCCCCUCCCCCUCGUUCGGCGCAGGUGGUGGCGGCCCGCGCGGUGCGCAGCCGCAGAGAGUUCUGGGCGGUGCCGCUGAGGGGCGUGUGACGCAGCGGCCGUCGCUGCCAUUUUAAGUUGUUUGUUCUCGCUUCCCUUCUCAAACGCGACUCUGCCCCGGACCCGGGAGGCGCCCGAGGCCGCCGCCGUUUCCGCAGCCAGCGGUUGGGGCAACGAGGCUGUGCCACCGCGGACGCUCACCCUCCGCUUCGGCUUUCCCCCUCCGGGUCUCCUCGACCUUCCUUGCUGAGAGCCGGAACCCGACCGUGGGGGGAAGAAAGACUCGAGAGCAGAUGCUUGAACUGAAAUAACUUUCUUUUGGGGGGUUUGCUUCGCUGACAGACCCCUUAGCGCAGGGCUCCCCUCCCCUUCCUCCCCUCCCCCUCCGCCGCCAGUACCAAUCCUACCCCUCUUUCUACCUCGUUUCUCCUCUUUCUCGUCUUCGCCGCCGCCUCCGCGUCCUUCCCUCCGCCGCCGCCCGGGGCGCCGAGCCAGACUAUGGGUCCCAGGUGGGGGCUGAGCGGCGGCAGCAGCGCGGGCGGCCCGGUCACAGUGCGCACUGCAGCGGGGAUGGAGGGGCUCAGUUGGCUGGUGGUUUUCUCUUGACAUGGCUCCUGCCCGUGCUGCGAGCAGCGCCCCCGCCGCCGCCGCCUCUUCUGCCGCCGCCACCGCUCCGCCCGCAGGCUGCGGCUAGAGGGCCCGAACCCCGCCCGAGAGUCGGUCAGUGAGUCCCGGUCUCCGCGGGGACAGGGAGGGGAUUUCCCCGCCACCCGCCCCCGCCCCAGCUGCCUCAGUUCCACCCCCUGCCCCCUCGGGAAGCAAACUAAUGACCCCACCCUAAACUAUCCAAACUCGGGAAACAUGGUCUGUUCAACGUGAGAGAGCGAGCUAAUCCGGGAACUUCAGGGUUUUUUCUUUGGGGGGGGGUGGGCUGGGCAUACUUUCAAAAAGUAAUUAAUAUUAACACAACUAUUUUCUUUUUUUCCCACUGAUCCUUCCCAUUUACCCUCUCCCGCCUACUCUACCCGGGCGGGAAUUGUUUCCACGAUGAAAUGAGUGAAAACCUGAGUGAUCCUGUGUCUCCCGUGGUGCGAGUGA